UUAAAUAAACUAUAUUGUUGAAUUCAUAUAUUUGUGAACUAUUCAUUUCAAUUUAAAAUAAUUCACUUCCCCACGUGCAGUAAAUCAAUACAUGAAGAUUAACAAGAUUCUUGUGGAUGUCUUAGCCCAGACACAUGAAAUCCUUGUUAAUUUUUGUCUCAUAUCGCGUAAAAUGGAUAUUAGCCACUUCAACCUUCUUCAAAAAUUGAUGAUGAAAUGAUCAUUUAAUAUCAUCUUAGGAGCGAGUCAAGAUCCAUCUUAGGAGCGAGUCAAGAUCCACCUUGUGAUGUGUUUCGACAGGAUGCAAAACAAUUUUAUAUUGAAAAAUGUGCCUUGAAAGGGCUUUAAACCUCGCAGGGCAACCGUCAUUAUAAGAAAAGUAUAUUUACACUAUCGAGAAAUAAGUUGUAUUGCUACUGGAGCGGAGUAGAGCUAAGAAUGAAAGAAUAUUGUGACAUAUACGACUAUGACGAUUAAAUAAAAUAUCAUGAUAAUGUACAAGAAUUGUUACAAAAAAAAUAAUCAUUUUUUCAUUGGAGAUGUAUUGUUAUAACAAAAACUAUGAACCAAUGUAUUGUAUUCAGUGUCGAACAUUCUUUCGCUUAUUACAAUUUCUGUUUCUAUUCUAUUUACAAGCUUCGAUUUUGACAAAAUAUAGUAUAAAAUUUCAAAUUACAAGUCAUCGCCAAAUUUUUCAUCUUUCACCAUUGUUCGCAUUGAAUAUUUUUUCACAUAUUUUUGUUUUUUCUACCACUACCAAAUAGUGUAUCCGUAGUGGACCAUAUUUAUUCGCCAAUUACAAGUUUGAUUUCUAUUAUAUUUAUCAAAACUCAACAACAAUAAAAUAGAAUAACAUAUGAUAUGAUGUAAAGUUACAUGUCAUCCUCAUUUGUUGAUUUUCCAUAACUUUUUACAUUAAUCUCUUCUUCACAAAUAUCUUAUUGGUAUAUCUACUAGUGCCUAAUAUUGUACCAUAUAUUGUAGAUUAGAAGCUUUUCAUCAAUUUAUAAAACCUUAAAACAAUACAAUAAAAUAGCAUAUGAAGAUAAAUUACUUGCCAUUCUCAACUGUUCAUUUCUAUAAUUGUUCAGAUUAAUCUCUUUACUCGCAUAUAUUUUCUUCCAAUUCAACACACUGGAAAUUUAUCAAACAAAUUAAGCCUUUAAUAUUGACACUGUAAUUCAGUAUCAUUCAAUUAGACAUUUCAUCCUCUUUUUUCAAUUCCUACUUAAUCGAUAAACUGGAAUUAGAAAUUGAUCAAAACAGCAAAACUAAUUUUUCAAAGAGAAGAUACAUAAUCAAUUUUGAUUGAAUAUCGAGUGUGUGGAUUGAUGGGAACAAGUUCUGAAUUGUUUUUCCCAGUGAUGGAUACAUAAAAAGGAAGAGUUUUACUAAUAAUUUCUUAAAAAGAAUUGAGUUUUAAGUGACUAAUUACUUGUGUAUAAUAUUAAACAUUAUUUUGUUUCACAUCAACUAUUGUACUAAUCCUAUUGAAUUUCUAUCUUAUGUUUAGAGAAAUGUUACACCGACAUUUGUAAAUGUAAGAAAAUAAAACACUCCAAAAUUCAUAAGUUAAAAGCAAUUCCAUCAGUUGAGAUACUCUCUACGGUUUCUGAGAUUUUUUAAAUUAAUAUUCUAAUAACAUUUUGUUAUGUAAUUCAGUUUUAAUUUAUUUGAAAAAAGUUAAAAGCAAUAAUAUAAUGACAUGUUGCUUUCUUUUUAAUAUUCACCUCCAUCUUACCGAUCUGUUGUAGUUAGGGUGUCAAUUGGUUAGGCCCACCCAUGGAUUCACCCAUUCAAAACAAACAUGAGUGGGUGAUGGUCAUACCCAAAUAACUAAUGAUGUAACUGGGUUAAAGACCCACUUUGCCCAUGGGUUAACUGGUCCAAACCAAAUGGGUGUUGGGCUGGCCCAAAACACUUAAUUUCUAGGUUUAGACAAUUUGGGGAAAAGACCCACUUCUCUUCUCCCGUUCGACGAUUCUCUUCUUUUCUUCCACCAUUUCUCUUCUCCAUUCCCAGAUUUUCGUAGCCGCGAGUCCUCCCUUAAGUCUUCCUUAUGAAUCAGUAACCUAACUCUGAAACUUCCUUUAGCUGUCUUCUUCUGUGGUUUCUCUUCCUUGUAGAGGAGUCAUCUACUUAUAGGGAGGUUUAGCUCUGUCUCCAUUUCUCUUCGCGAUUUCAGGCUGAAGACACAAGUAGACAAGCCGGAAGAUUGCUAUCACAAUUGAUUUUGUGAUCCUUGUUAUUGGUAUGUCGCCAACAGAUCAUGCAAUAUUUCUGUGAAAGAAUCAAUAAAAACAAAUGUCUUUGAGACUAUUUCAAUUUCAGUCAUAUUUGAAUAUUUUUUUUUUUGAAAAAACAUAUUUGAAUUUUUAUUGCUGGAUUUAAAGAAAUUCUAUAAUUUUUAUUUGCUAUAAGUAUAUAAGUUUAUAAAUUGAGUUUA